rnacentral:rRNA from 1 species
UUUGUAAACUUGAACUCUAAUUGGUGUUAGUUUGAGGUUGUGUUUUUAUCUUGUUUUUUAGGGUGAAAUCAGAAAUUUUUGUUAGUGGUACCUUAAACUUUAAGAUUUGGUGAAUGAAUCAGAUUAGUACCUGACUAAACAAAAGUUAAAAGAGCAGGAGUAAAGUUAUGUUUAAACUGUAAGAGUAUUGGCAGGUUUUUAAAUUAUCUUUGGAGGUUGAGUAGUAAUUGAGAGCCCUCAUUAACAACUUUUACUGUGGGCGCAUGUAUGAUCGUUUAUUUUAUUCUCAAGGAUUGUAAUUCUAGACGGGUCUCUGUUAAAAUAGAUAGAUAUUUGGUGUAUGUAAAAGAUUUAAUUUGGCCUACAAUAUAUUAUUUUGUGGAUACUCUUCUAGUAGGGGGUUGAAAGUGUAAAAGACAGUAAGUUUUUUUUUAUGUAGGACUGAAGUUUAUUUAAGAACGGUACAAAUCAUCCAUCAAUUGCCUUUA